rnacentral:lncRNA from 1 species
GGCGCAGGCGCGGAUAAGUAAAAUCACAUGAGCUGGAUGUGUUGUCAUAUGACGGUGAUAAGCCGAGUCCGAGCAAUGUAGGCGGCGGGGUGGCACGGCGCUGCGGGUAGGCGCUGUACCGACCGAGUUCAGUCCCGCGUGUCCCCGGGGAUGAACUUCGAUGUGAUCUUUUGGUGAAACGCAGUCUCGGAACCAUGGAGCACCGGGGAGCCGUGUGCGCGGCGACCGCCGCCUGUUUGCUGGGUGUUGUGUUGUGUCAGACCACACUUGCACCAGCUGUGACCAACACCACAGUGCUCCAGAAUGUGACCACCACAACUCCCAUGAUCCUCAGUACUACCACACCUGGCUGCUCCACGCUCAACACCACGACUUGUGAGGCCUGUGCCCCUGGCUCUUACUCUGACAAUGACACUCUGCUGUGCUCGUGCUGCCCAGAUCCGGGGCUCUGUAUGUUCUCGGGUGCCUGUCUGCAGUGUGGCCAGGGAUUCUACCAGCCCCUGGCUGGACAGCAACUCUGUCUGCCAUGCAACCCCGGCUUCUACACAAAUUUCACGGGGAGCCCUGUGUGUCAGACCUGCCCUCUGGGUACCUUCAACAACGAAACUGGUUCGAUCUCCUGCAAGAGCUGCUCGCCAGGAUUUUAUUCAUCCAAAGUCAACUCGACCCUGUGCAGCCCCUGCCCUCAGGGAACAUACUGCAACACCUCCAGUUGUGCCCAGUGCCAAGUGUGCCCGGCUGGCUCAGAGUCACUGCAGACCGCCGCCAGGGAAUGCACUCUCUGUCGCCCAGGUAUGCAUAAGCCUUCCCAUCAGAUCAUGUGUCAAAUUUGCAGCAGUGGUUUCUACCAGAUCCUCUGGGGUCAGGAGAACUGUGAUGUUUGCCCUGAAAAUCACUACUGCCCCAGUCCUGAUGUGAACCCGAUCAAGUGCCCCAGUGAUGCCUUCUGUCCACAGGGCAGCACUGCUCCAGGCUACUGCAUGGAGACGUUCUUCAGGAAGGCAGGGGAAACCUGUGAGCUCGCCCCAGUCACCAUUGCACUUCUUGUCAUUGGAGGAGGGGUUGCACUCCUCUUCAUCAUCCUCCUGGUUUUGCGCAGACGGAGGGACACCGACAGCGAGCUUUCUGUCUCGCGUGCCCCCCUGCUGGGGAAAGAGCGACCACCAGGCCGUUUCUACAGCAUGCCAUGCGAUGCUGAACCUGUCUACGCAGGCUGGUGAAGCAGUGUAGCCCAGAGCUUCAGCCCUCCCCCCUAUUCUCAUACCGUUAAUUAUGAACCCCCUGGAUAAUUAAAGAACUUCAGCUUUGUGAAAGGACUUACGAAAGACUUUACCACACCUUAUAGAUAAACUCAUGCAGGCUUUGUAGAAGUGACUAUUACUGUUUCAUCAGUUGUUCAUUUGCAUUCCUCAAGCAUAACUACUCCUACUACUUCUCUGUGCUGCCCUGUUGCUACGACCUUUCCUGGUACGGAAAGCGGUGCUGUUCUGUUUUUCAGUCAUGCUAUAUUUGCACUGGCCUCAAAACGCAAGCCAUGAACUGUCAAUGCUUUUCUGGAGGUUAUGGGUGGGAGACGGGGCUUUGGUUAGAAUGUUUACUCUGGUGCCACUUUUUUUUUUAUUAUUGCUUUGUGGUACUGGGUGAUAAUUUUUUAUGUAUUUAAACUGUUACAUCACUCAUUUCUAUGACAUAGGAAGUGUUAAUUAAAACUUAAGUGUUAUUAAAAAAAAUUGAAAAAAAUA